rnacentral:rRNA from 1 species
CCGGCACGGGUGAGUAACACGUAUCCAACCUGCCGUCUACUCUUGGCCAGCCUUCUGAAAGGAAGAUUAAUCCAGGAUGGCAUCAUGAGUUCACAUGUCCGCAUGAUUAAAGGUAUUUUCCGGUAGACGAUGGGGAUGCGUUCCAUUAGAUAGUAGGCGGGGUAACGGCCCACCUAGUCAACGAUGGAUAGGGGUUCUGAGAGGAAGGUCCCCCACAUUGGAACUGAGACACGGACCAA